GUGGAUAGGGGAGAAAUUCCAAUCGAACCCGGAGAUAGCUGGUUCUCCUCGAAAUAGCUUUAGGGCUAGCCUCAUGAGAGUCUUUUGGAGGUAGAGCACUGAAUUCCCGCGGGGGCGUCAAAGCUUACCAAAGGAUAUCAAACUCCGAAUGCCAGUAAGAUGAUUCAUGGGAGUCAGACUACACGAGAUAAGUUGGGUAGUCAAAAGGGAAAGAGCCCAGACCUGCAGCUAAGGUCCCAAAAUGUGUGUUAAGUGGAAAAGGAUGUGGGAUUUCAAAGACAACCAGGAUGUUGGCUUAGAAGCAGCCAUACAUUAAAAGAGUGCGUAAUAGCUCACUGGUCGAGAGGUCCUGCGCCGAAAAUGUCCGGGGCUGAAACACACUACCGAAGCUCAGGAAUUAACGUAGUUAAUUGGUAGAGGAGCAUUCUUAAAGGGAAGAAGCAGUACCGGAAGGAGCUGUGGACUUUUAAGAAGAGAGAAUGCCGGAAUGAGUAGCGAGAGGAAGGUGAGAAUCCUUCCGGCCGAAUACCCAAGGUUUCCAGAGUAAAGCUGAUCUGCUCUGGGUAAGUCGGGGCCUAAGGUGAGGUCGAAAGACGUAGCCGAUGGACAACAGGUUGAAAUUCCUGUACUGCAGUAUAACAGAACUGUGGGGACGCAGAGGGAGAGCACUAGCGGGAAUGGAAUCCCGCGGCAAGCGAGGUAGGAGUAGAGUUGGCAAAUCCGCUCUAUAAUCCGAAGACGUGAUGCAUACCGAACUGAAGUAGGGAAAUGUGUGAGCCAGCUGCCAAGAAAAGCCGCUAUUGUUUGUACUGUACCCGUACCGUAAACCGACACAGGUAGGUGAGGAGAGAAUCCUAAGGCCGACGGGAGAAGCAUUGUUAAGGAACUCGGCAAAAUGACUCCGUAACUUCGGGAGAAGGAGUGCCAGUGAGAGCUGGCCGCAGAGAAUUGGCCCAAGCAACUGUUUAGCAAAAACACAGGUCUAUGCAAAACCGUAAGGUGAAGUAUAUGGGCUGACGCCUGCCCGGUGCUGGAAGGUUAAGGGGAGAGGUUAGCGCAAGCGAAGCUUUGAACUUAAGCCCCAGUAAACGGCGGCCGUAACUAUAACGGUCCUAAGGUAGCGAAAUUCCUUGUCGGGUAAGUUCCGACCCGCACGAAAGGCGUAAUGAUUUGGGCACUGUCUCAACAAUGCACCCGGUGAAAUUGAAAUACCAGUGAAGAUGCUGGUUACCUGCGCCAGGACGGAAAGACCCCAUGGAGCUUUACUCCAGCUUGAUACUGGGAUUCGAUAUUGUAUGUACAGGAUAGGUGGGAGGCGAAGAAGCAUUGACGCCAGUUGAUGCGGAGCCGCUGUUGGGAUACCACCCUUGCAGUAUUGGAUUUCUAACCAGCAGCCGUGACCCGGCUGGGGGACAAUGUCAGGUGGGGAGUUUGACUGGGGCGGUCGCCUCCGAAAGGGUAUCGGAGGCGCUCAAAGGUUCCCUCAGAAUGGUUGGAAACCAUUCGAAGAGUGCAAAGGCAGAAGGGAGCUUGACUGCGACACCGACGGGUGGAGCAGGUACGAAAGUAGGACUUAGUGAUCCGGUGGUAUAAAGUGGGAUUGCCAUCGCUCAACGGAUAAAAGCUACCCUGGGGAUAACAGGCUUAUCACUCCCAAGAGUUCACAUCGACGGAGUGGUUUGGCACCUCGAUGUCGGCUCAUCGCAUCCUGGGGCUGUAGUAGGUCCCAAGGGUUGGGCUGUUCGCCCAUUAAAGCGGUACGCGAGCUGGGUUCAGAACGUCGUGAGACAGUUCGGUCCCUAUCCGGCGUGGGCGUAGGAUAUUUGAGAGGAGCUGUCCUUAGUACGAGAGGACCGGGAUGGACUGACCGCUGGUUGAUCUGUUGUUCCGCCAGGAGCAUAGCAGAGUAGCCAAGCCGGGACGGGAUAAACGCUGAAGGCAUCUAAGCGUGAAGCCCCCCUCAAGAUGAGAUAUCCCAACGAAAGUUGU
rnacentral:rRNA from 1 species